AAAAAUACCCCAAAACACACACUUGGUGGCGUGAGGAUAAUCAAACUCUCACACUAUUAAGGAACCGCCAGCAAGUAUUGAAUCAUUUUUAUUUCUCACUCAAACCCUCAAUAACCAUUUUCUCAUACUAGAUUAAACCAUCUAUAAUUUAAGAGUAACUUUACCCUUAAACACCUCCUUCACAAGUGAAACUUCCCGAUAAGCUCUCAUCAAAACGUAAGAAACGAAAGUCCGAAAAGUUGGAAGAAGAGAAUGCUUUUUCUUCGACAGUUAUGAGCUCCAUUAAUACUGUUGCUCAAGCUCUAGACAGAAAUACCAAGGUAAUGGAAAGUUCUCGUCCACAUAUCUAUUCAGAGAUGGAAAUAUAUAAAGAACUCGAGCUUAUGUGUCUUGAACCCGAUGACAUUGCAAGUGCGUAUUUGUUUCUCAUUGAACUCCCUGAAAAAGCACGAGCACUACUUGGUUGUCAUCUACCAAUGCGUAUGACAAUCCUAGAUAAAAUGAUGAAUGCAAGUCCAUGAAGAACCAAUUGGAACCCAUUUGGCCAGAAUUGUAGCCUUUUUUGUAUGCUUAAAAUAGAUCUUUUGUAUGGAUAUACUAGGUGCUUGGAUAGUUCUUUUGUAUGGUCAUGUUGGGUGCCCAAUUGGAUAUGUUAUUGCUUAUAUUAUAGAUUAUCUAGCAAUCAACAGGGCUAGGAAGUCUUUUGUGCAGCAUCAAGUUACUACGGUAUGUGAAAAAGGCAUGAAGAUCAGUUUGGGCAAAAAGAAUAUGCUUCAGUGGUUAUCAAGCUAAUAUGCAUAUUUUGAAUCCAGUAGUUGUUAUUAUUGUAAAUCCUUCUAGUAAUAGUUUGAUUUGGCUCAACAAUGUAAACUUUAUUAUUUUGGUUAUUAUGGUUUAAAUUGAAUGUUAUAUUA